UACGGAGGGUGCAAGCGUUAUCCGGAAUCACUGGGUUUAAAGGGUGCGUAGGCUGCUGCAUAAGUCAGGGGUGAAAGUUUGUCGCUUAACGAUAGAAUUGCCUUUGAUACUGUGCGGCUUGAAAUUAGGUGAGGUUGGCGGAAUGUGACAUGUAGCGGUGAAAUGCGUAGAGAUGUCAGAGAACACCGAUUGCGAAGGCAGCUGGCUAACCUAUAGUUGACGAUGAGGCACGAAAGCGUGGGUAGCAAACAGG
rnacentral:rRNA from 1 species